GGAGUAGCCAGGGGAGGAGAUGAACUUACAUCUAUUUGAAGCUGCCUUGAAUUUUGUCCAAAUUAAGGAUGGAUUUGGAAAGUAACUUCAUCUGCUGUCCCAAACACAAGAAAGUCUGCAGAUGCUGGAAAUCCAAAGCAACACAGACGAAAUACUGGAGGAACUCAGCAGGCUCAAUGGUAACUUUUGAAAAUAAGAAUAGCAAGUUAACGGAUUUGGUAGUUUCAAGCAUCCUUAUAGAAAAAAAGAGAAAGAAAGAAAAGAAAGAAAGAGUGCCUGGAUAUUGGAAGAUCCCCA